rnacentral:rRNA from 1 species
UACGUAGGUGGCAAGCGUUGUCCGGAUUUACUGGGUGUAAAGGGCGUGCAGCCGGGCUGACAAGUCAGAUGUGAAAUCCCGCGGCUUAACCGCGGAACUGCAUUUGAAACUGUCAGUCUUGAGUACCGGAGAGGUCAUCGGAAUUCCUUGUGUAGCGGUGAAAUGCGUAGAUAUAAGGAAGAACACCAGUGGCGAAGGCGGAUGACUGGACGGCAACUGACGGUGAGGCGCGAAAGCGUGGGGAGCAAACAGG